GUGAGGAAUAUUGGUCAAUGGGCGGGAGCCUGAACCAGCCAAGUCGCGUGAAGGAAGAAGGAUCUAUGGUUCGCAAACUUCUUUUGCAGGGGAAUAAAGUGCAGGACGUGUCCUGUUUUGUAUGUACCCUGAGAAUAAGGAUCGGCUAACUCCGUGCCAGCAGCCGCGGUAAUACGGAGGAUCCGAGCGUUAUCCGGAUUUAUUGGGUUUAAAGGGUGCGUAGGUGGUUUGAUAAGUCAGCGGUGAAAGUUUGCAGCUUAACUGUAAAAAUGCCGUUGAAACUGUCGGACUUGAGUGUAAAUGAGGUAGGCGGAAUGCGUGGUGUAGCGGUGAAAUGCAUAGAUAUCACGCAGAACUCCGAUUGCGAAGGCAGCUUACUAAGCUACAACUGACACUGAAGCACGAAAGCGUGGGGAUCAAACAGGAUUAGAAACCCCGGUAGUCC
rnacentral:rRNA from 1 species